rnacentral:rRNA from 1 species
UACGAAGGGGGCUAGCGUUGUUCGGAAUUACUGGGCGUAAAGCGCACGUAGGCGGAAUGUUAAGUCAGGGGUGAAAUCCCGGGGCUCAACCCCGGAACUGCCUUUGAUACUGGCAUUCUCGAGUCCGGAAGAGGUGAGUGGAAUUCCGAGUGUAGAGGUGAAAAUUCGUAGAUAUUCGGAGGAACACCAGUGGCGAAGGCGGCUCACUGGUCCGGUACUGACGCUGAGGUGCGAAAGCGUGGGGAGCAAACAGG